rnacentral:lncRNA from 13 species
UGCAGGAAGAGGAGGCCACUCACCUGCAAUUUCAACAGCCAUCCAAGACCUGAGGUUCCACCAUCAGAAGUCCACCCCCUAGGAAAGAUGCAGUGUUUCCUGCAAAAUUUUGCUGAGGAUGAUGUUCUCCAGAAAUGAACUUUCUUAAUCUGAUAAAAGAGUACCUACAAAAAUCCUACCGCAGACGUGGUACUUGGAGUACCAUCGAGAAUGAGACUGGCAUGGUUGCAUUGCCACAUCUACUCAUCACUGUACAGCAGGUCUUAAUCACCGACAUAAAAAGAUCGGACAAAAGCUGGGCUGGCUUUAGGGACCUGCUUAAGCAGAACACGGUAGAAGUGACGGACUGGGACGUAAGAAACCUUGAGAAUUUCACCUGGCCCUCGCUGUCUCUGGGAGCCCUGAGCCAUCAUAGAAGUCCUUCCUGUAUUGAAGAUCCCCAAGACCUCCAUUACCGGAAAGGGCCUGUGCCGAUACUCAGACCAAGAGUCCAAACUGAGCUCAGUCUGCCAACUCGCCGUGCCACGAUGCCAGAGGCGUCUGUGAAUGAGGCCCUUCUAGACCCGCUCAUGCUCAUCACCCAGCUGAGUAACCUCCACAAUUUCAGGCCGAACACGGAACUGCUGAUUUGAACUCUGCCUGAAUUUCUUGGCCCACAGAACAAUAAGAUAUAAUUAAAAGGCAUGACUUACGCCACUAUGUUUUGUAAUUUGUUUGACAACAAAAGAUAACAAAUAGUGAAAACUGUAGCUUCUACAUAAAGAUAUACAUGGAUAUUUUCUUCUUUUUUUUUUCUAUUUUAAUUGGUUUUAGAGCUGGGGUCUCACUCAGUGUCUAGAGUGCAGCAAAGUAAUCACAGCUUACUGGAGCCUCGAACUCCUGGGCUCAAACAAUCCUCCCACUUCAGCCUCCUGAGUAGCUGAGACUGUAGUCGUAAGCCACCGUGCCUGCCUGACAGCUUCUCUUUUACAAAAAUUCAUGAAAAACUGUCAUCUCCUGCCCCCCCAACCCUUGAUUCCUCUCCCUGAUAGGAACCAACUUUCAAUUCUUUUGGCUCUUUCUUCUGGUUUUGAUUUCCACGUUUUUAAAAAUAAAUAUAUAUGUGUUCAUAAUGUUAUUACUUGA